UACGUAGGUGGCAAGCGUUGUCCGGAUUUACUGGGCGUAAAGAGCGCGCAGGCGGUCGGCCAAGUCGAGUGUGAAAGCCCCCGGCUCAACUGGGGAGGGUCAUUCGAUACUGGCCGACUCGAAGGCAGGAGAGGGAAGCGGAAUUCCCGGUGUAGUGGUGAAAUGCGUAGAUAUCGGGAGGAACACCAGUGGCGAAGGCGGCUUCCUGGCCUGUUCUUGACGCUGAGGCGGCGAAAAGCUAGGGGAGCAAACGGG
rnacentral:rRNA from 1 species